rnacentral:rRNA from 1 species
ACGGAAGGCAGCAGUGAGGAAUAUUGGUCAAUGGGCGGGAGCCUGAACCAGCCAAGUAGCGUGGAGGAUGACGGCCCUACGGGUUGUAAACUCCUUUUGCCGGGGGAUAAAAAACGGGACGUGUCCCGUCUUGCAGGUACCCGCGCGAAUAAGGACCGGCUAAUUCCGUGCCAGCAGCCGCGGUAAUACGGAAGGUCCGAGCGUUAUCCGGAUUUAUUGGGUUUAAAGGGUGCGUAGGCGGGACGUUAAGUCAGUGGUAAAAGCGUGUGGCUCAACCAUACCAAGCCAUUGAAACUGUCGUUCUUGAGUGUAAACGAGGUAGGCGGAAUGUGACGUGUAGCGGUGAAAUGCUUAGAUAUGUCACAGAACCCCGAUUGCGAAGGCAGCUUACCAGCAUACAACUGACGCUGAGGCACGAAAGCGUGGGUAUCAAACAGGAUUAGAUACCCUGGUA